rnacentral:sRNA from 1 species
GGUUCGACUCGAGCGAAGCGAGAGAACGUUGCCGCAGGCAACGGCCCGAAGGGCGAGGCGCUUUAGCGCCGAGUAAUCCUUCCCCCACCACUG